UCUCAAGCUCUCAUCUCUUUUCUCUAAGUAUACGACCAUACACAUGUACAACUAAACUUCCAUACAAAAAAUUGCUUCAAGAGUUUAAAGAAGGUCCAAGCAUCAGGAGGCGAUUGAAGCGAUUACAAGCCUUUUUCAUUCAUACGUUUUAGUGCCUUCCCUAGCUAGUCUAGUGGACAUGUUUGAGUCGAUGUAUCCAUUUUGGGCUUCGGUUGCUAGCACUUGCAUAUACGUGUUUCAGGUUGCAUUUUCAAAACUAUGGAACGGUUGGAAUAGGAGAACCCAUGGGAUUUCGGGUACUUAGCGGGCGUUCAUUGUUUAGAAGUCUUAGCUUAUUUGCUUCCGCUGUGCAAUGAAGAUACCGGUCCAGUCACGCUAGCUCUGAUAUUUCGGGGUGUGACA